rnacentral:rRNA from 1 species
AUAUCAAUAAGCGGAGGAAAAGAAACCAACAGGGAUUGCCCUAGUAACGGCGAGUGAAGCGGCAACAGCUCAAAUUUGAAAUCUGGCCUCGGCCCGAGUUGUAAUUUGCAGAGGAAGCUUCUGGCGCGGCGCCUUCCGAGUCCCCUGGAAUGGGGCGCCAUAGAGGGUGAGAGCCCCGUACGACCAACGACUUAGCCAUGUGAACGUCCUUCGAAGAGUCGAGUUGUUUGGGAAUGCAGCUCAAAGCGGGUGGUAAAUUCCAUCUAAAGCUAAAUAUUGGCCAGAGACCGAUAGCGCACAAGUA